AAUGGCUUCUAGUUUGUAUAUCGAGGCCAUAGUCUCGUGGAAACUGAUGAUAUUAUGAUAACUUUUAAAAAGUCAAGGCUGCAUUGCUGUUGGUGCAUCCCAAUUUCAGUUUUGCAUAUACACAAUUUGUCAAUAAAAAACAGAGGGAAAUGGAGGAUCAGUUACAAGACCAUAGGGAAGGAGAUCGACCAUUCAAUCAAGAUUAGUUUUCAGAACAAUGUGAAUGCUGAAAUUUUGAACACUGAUAAGAAAAACAUUUAUCAGGUGUACAUAUGAGAAUAAGUGGCAUCAGCCAAAAAAAAAACCCACAAAUUUUUAAUUAAUCAUAUUACAAGUUUCCCAAAUUAAAUUUAGGGAAAAUUGCAACAUUGGUCCCAAACAUUUUAUUUUUUUGCAGGCUUUAUCUUAACCUUCAUUUAGUGCCACCCACAAUCCCAGACCUUUCAAAAAUAUGCACCUGAGGUCCAAAUGAAUGGAAAACCGUCCAUUCGACCGUUAUUUGACUAAGAAAAUUGGACUUUGACCAAUUUGACCAAAUUGAAAGGGGUAAAAUGGUAACUUUAGAAUUAACAUUUUUUUUUCAAUAUUAUAACAAUUAAACUAAGGAAAAAAAAAGGAAAAUAAAGCACCCCUAUCUUCAUAUUCUUCCCGGUCCCCACCUUCACCCCCACCCCUACCCCUCCAACUAAACCAGAAUCCAAAGCUGCUGACCGCCACCACCAAACUCACAGCCACCCAAAAACCAAAACCACCUCCACUAAAUCGAACCAUCACCUUUCACUUCUAUUCCUUCUAAACUCUAACAUCGUGUCUCUAAAUCGAACCCAAAAGUUACAAGGCUUUUGGGCUUUAAGGACUCUGCCACUGCCAAUGGACAAAAUAUCAAGUCUUCCACUGCCAAUGGAAUACUGAGGCUUUAAGGACAUAAUACUGUUCAAAAACCCCAGUUUUGAAAACCCCUUGAACCAUAAACCUUAACCCUAUAUAUAUAUAUAUAAUAUAUAAUUUUCCGUAUGCUGGGUUGUAGUUUAUCAUUUCAACCCAUUUCUAUGUUAGGAUUGUUUAUGAUUUGUCUUUUAUUUUAACUUUGAGUGGAAUAUUGAGAAGGGAAUUUAUUGGAAUUUCACAUUGAUUUGCAGUCAGAUAUAAGAAAAUGAUUCAUGAAGCAACUUGAUAAGGGCAUUGGGAAUGGAAAUGCAUCAAAGCUUGUAAAGCCCUUUGGAGCUGAGAAGCCUGUUGUCAUUUCUUAGCCUGAAAAAUUGGGUUGGGUUGGGUUGGUUUGGGCAGCGGUUGGAGGGCAAGGAAAUGGUAGUUUGGUGGUGGUUGAAGGCUGUGGAGUUGUGGUGACUUUGGGAGGUGGCUGAUUAGUUGUCGGUGUGUAGGUUGUGGUGGUGUUGUCGGGUUUGGUUUAUGUAGGGGUUGGGUGUGGUGGUGGUGUUGGCAGCUAUGGGAAGAAGAAGAAUAUUUCUUUUUCUUUUUCUUUCCUUUUUUUUUUGUCAAUAAUAUUUGGAAAAAUAUAAUUAUACCAUUUUUCCCUUUUUAGUUUGGUCAAAAUUGAUUAAACUUUGACUUUUUGGUCAACUAACGGUCAAAUGGAUGGUUUCCAUUCAUUUGGACCUCAGGUGCAUAUUUUGAAAGGUUCUGGACUGUGAGUAGUACAAAAUGAAAGUUCGGAUAAAGUCUGCAAAAAAGUGAAAGAUUUGGGACCGUUGCUAUAAUUUUCCCUUAAAUUUACUUAGUUUUGGAAUGAGAAAAAAGUUGAUUGCUUGAUUGUGGGAUUGAUAUGUCUUUUGGUUGAUUGCAUAAUCUUUACUCAUUUCUAAUUUUUAGGCAUCAUUAUUUGUUUACCCAAAUAUUCUGUUGCCAAUUUGUGAUUACUUCAUUGUAGUGAAUAGACUUCUCCCAUUUUCCCAAUU